rnacentral:rRNA from 1 species
AGAGUUUGAUCCUGGCUCAGGAUGAACGCUAGCGGCAGGCUUAACACAUGCAAGUCGAGGGGCAGCAUGUCCAGCAAUGGAUGAUGGCGACCGGCGGAAGGGUGCGUAACGCGUGAGCAACAUGCCCUAUACAGGGAGAUACACCAGGGAAACUUGGUCUAAUAUCCCAUAUCAUUCAUUGAAGGCAUCUUUAAUGAAUUAAAGCUUCGGUGGUAUAGGAUUGGCUCGCGUGACAUUAGCCAGAUGGUGAGGUAACGGCUCACCAUAGCAAUGAUGUCUAGGGGUUUUGAGAGGAAGGCCCCCCACACUGGGACUGAGACACGGCCCAGACUCCUACGGGAGGCAGCAGUGAGGAAUAUUGGACAAUGGAUGGAAAUCUGAUCCAGCCAUGCCGCGUGCAGGAAGACGGCCUUAUGGGUUGUAAACUGCUUUUAUACGGGAGCAAUAAGGGUUACGAGUAAUCCGAUGAGAGUACUGUAUGAAUAAGGAUCGGCUAACUCCGUGCCAGCAGCCGCGGUAAUACGGAGGAUCCGAGCGUUAUCCGGAAUUAUUGGGUUUAAAGGGUGCGUAGGCGGCCAUUUAAGUCAGCGGUGAAAUUUUGCAGCUUAACUGUAACAGUGCCGUUGAUACUGUUUGGCUAGGAUUUGGUUGUAGUGUGCGGAAUGUGUGGUGUAGCGGUGAAAUGCAUAGAUAUACCACAGAACACCGAUUGCGAAGGCAGCUUACUAAACUGUCACUGACGCUGAUGCACGAAAGCGUGGGUAUCAAACAGGAUUAGAUACCCUGGUAGUCCACGCUGUAAACGAUGAUUACUGGUUGUUUGCGAUACACUGCAAGUGACUGAGCGAAAGCAUUAAGUAAUCCCCCUGGGGGGUACGUCGGCAACGAUGAAACUCAAAGGAAUUGACGGGGGGCCCGCACAAGCGGAGGAACAUGUGGUUUAAUUCGAUGAUACGCGAGGAACCUUACCUGGGUUUAAAUGGGGAGUGACAGGCUUGGAAACAGGCCCUUCUUCGGACACUCUUCAAGGUGCUGCAUGGUUGUCGUCAGCUCGUGCCGUGAGGUGUCGGGUUAAGUCCCAUAACGAGCGCAACCCCUAUCGAUAGUUACCAGCACGUUACGGUGGGGACUCUAUCGAGACUGCCGGUGUAAACCGUGAGGAGGGUGGGGAUGACGUCAAAUCAGCACGGCCCUUACAUCCAGGGCUACACACGUGUUACAAUGGCCGGUACAAAGGGCAGCUACACAGCGAUGUGAUGCUAAUCUCCAAAUCCGGUCUCAGUUCGGAUCGAAGUCUGCAACCCGACUUCGUGAAGCUGGAUUCGCUAGUAAUCGCGCAUCAGCCAUGGCGCGGUGAAUACGUUCCCGGGCCUUGCACACACCGCCCGUCA